CCUAAGUGGGUGGUAAACUCCAUCUAAGGCUAAAUACAACCACGAGACCGAUAGCACACAAGUACCGUGAGGGAAAGGUGAAAAGAACUUUGAAGAGAGAGUUCAAGAGUACGUGAAACUGAGGUGGUGUAAACGGACGAGAUCGAAAAGUCCGAAUGGGGAGAUUCAGGCCUAUCCGCGGCGGUGGCCGACGGGUUCAGACGGUGCGGUCGGCGGAGGGCCCUCGGGCCGCUCYGUUUUUUCCGUAUUCGCUCGUCCCGGCGGUAUCUGUCUGUCGCGGUGGGCUGCACUUCUCCCCUAGUAGGACGUCGCGACCCGUUGGGAGGUUCCGAUCUGUGGCCCUCGGUGGAGCCCGCGCCGGGGCGGUGGCUUUCGGGCCGCCGUUGCCGUGCACGGACCCGGGGUGACCUGAUCGGCGCUCGACGGUAUCAAAGCUUGGGAAGGGACCGCACAGAGGUUGCGUCCGAUGCCUGAUUUCAUCGGGCUACACUCGGACAGGUUCGUACCCGGUCUGCGGCGCUACUGCUUUCGAUACUCGUCCGA
rnacentral:rRNA from 1 species